rnacentral:tRNA from 1 species
GGUGUAGCCCAGUCCGGCUAGGGCGCCUGCUUUGGGAGCAGGAUGUCGCAGGUUCGAAUCCUGUCACC